rnacentral:ncRNA from 1 species
AAGAACGCAAUGAGAAAGAAGAGUAACUUUUAAAGGCCUCAAGCGAAUUCCGGUUGGUGUGAGGGAAUAGGUGCUUUAAAAGCGAAAAUCCCUUUCGAGCGCUGUACCCAACAAUUAUUAGUAGGUACACUGGGAACACCCAUUAUCGUGUUAGCGUAUCGCCCCACUAAGGCUGGGGCCGCACGUGAAAGGCAAUUGCAGCGAUGUAAUUGUAAAACCAAGGUGGUACCGCGCACUGGCGCCCUUGAA